CUACGUAGGGUGCGAGCGUUAUCCGGAAUUACUGGGCGUAAAGAGCUCGUAGGUGGUUUGUCGCGUCGUCUGUGAAAUUCCGGGGCUUAACUCCGGGCGUGCAGGCGAUACGGGCAUAACUUGAGUACUGUAGGGGAGACUGGAAUUCCUGGUGUAGCGGUGAAAUGCGCAGAUAUCAGGAGGAACACCGGUGGCGAAGGCGGGUCUCUGGGCAGUAACUGACGCUGAGGAGCGAAAGCAUGGGUAGCGAACAGGAUUAGAUACCCUGGUAGUCCAUGCCGUAAACGGUGGGCGCUAGGUGUAGGGGUCUUCCACGACUUCUGUGCCGUAGCUAACGCAUUAAGCGCCCCGCCUGGGGAGUACGGCCGCAAGGCUAAAACUUAAAGGAAUUGACGGGG
rnacentral:rRNA from 1 species